GGCUCCAUAGUGAAUUGGUUAGCACGUCUGCUUUACAUGCAGAAGGUUCUGGAUUCGUGCCCUAGGUGGACCA
rnacentral:tRNA from 1 species